AUUCCUCAAUGCACUUGUACGGUUAGCCUUUUAGCCACCAUGCUAACGUGACUUUAGUGUUCCCGAUAAAGAGCGAAAGUGUACUGACCAGUACGUACUAUGUUCCUCUUCAGAUUUUGGCGCGCUCUACCUUCCAGAUUUUUCAUCCGAUUCAAACCGUUGCAACUUCAAACUGUUCUGCCUAUUCGGGAAUCGCGGGCUUUCCCUUGACAAAUUCCAACAAUUCCCAGAUUUCCCAGAAUUCCAGAAUUGGUUGGGGCGCACUUAAAGAUGAUGCCACCAGCUGUCUCCACCCGUCUCUGUCCUCCACUGCCCUCAGGAGCGGCUGAAUGACUGAUGGCUUUCUGCAAGAGAAAACUCAGUGUCGUGUUGAAGCAGAGGCCUCCCGUGAAAACACUUUAAUAAGGUAUCCGUGCCCUGAGUUGCGGAGACUCAUAAAAAUACUUGACAAACACUCACUUGUAUCAAUUAUGUUUUGCUCAAACACACACAAAGAGAUACAUUUUAUGUUUCACUGGGUUUAGAGCUAUACUUCAAAUAAAGGAAUUAACUUUUAAACA